UGGUUAAGCUGAUAAGGGCACAGGGCGGAUGCCUUGGCACUAAGAGCCGAAGAAAGACGUGACAAGCUGCGAUAAGCUGCGGGGAGGGGCACAUACCCUGUGAUCCGCAGAUUUCUGAAUGGGGAAACCCGGCUGGGAGGCCCCCAGCCACCCAUGCGCGAAUCCAUAACGCAUGGGGGGGAACCCGGGGAACUGAAACAUCUAAGUACCCGGAGGAAGAGAAAGAAACAUCGAUUCCCUGAGUAGCGGCGAGCGGAAGGGGAAGAGCCUAAACCGGCACGCGAAGCGCGCCGGGGUAAUGGACUGCAGGAGCAGAACGGAAGCCAGGGGAACGGUUUUGGGAAAGCCGGCCAGAGGGGGUGAAAGCCCCGUACCCGAAGGCGGAAGGGAGCGGCAGGAUCCGGAGUACCACGGGACACGUGGAACCCUGUGGGAAGUCGGGAGGACCACCUCCCAAGGCUAAAUACUACUUAGUGACCGAUAGCGCAUAGUACUGUGAAGGAAAGGUGAAAAGGACCCCGGGAGGGGAGUGAAAGAGAACCUGAAACCCUGUGUCUGCAAGCUGUGGGACACCCAUAUG
rnacentral:rRNA from 1 species